rnacentral:rRNA from 1 species
AUACGGAGGGUGCAAGCGUUGUCCGGAUUUAUUGGGUUUAAAGGGUGUGUAGGCGGUGUAUUAAGUCAGUGGUGAAAGCCUGCGGCUCAACCGUAGAACUGCCAUUGAUACUGACACACUUGAGUAUGGACGAGGUAGGCGGAAUUUAUGGUGUAGCGGUGAACUGCAUAGAUACCAUAAAGAACACCGAUAGCGAAGGCAGCUUACUAGGCCAUAACGGACGCUGAGGCACGAAAGCGUGGGGAGCGAAAAGGAUUAGAAACCCCGGUAGUCC